AGUGAACGCUGGCGGUAGGCCUAACACAUGCAAGUCGAACGGCAGCACAGUAAGAGCUUGCUCUUACGGGUGGCGAGUGGCGGACGGGUGAGGAAUACAUCGGAAUCUACUUUUUCGUGGGGGAUAACGUAGGGAAACUUACGCUAAUACCGCAUACGACCUACGGGUGAAAGCAGGGGAUCUUCGGACCUUGCGCGAUUGAAUGAGCCGAUGUCGGAUUAGCUAGUUGGCGGGGUAAAGGCCCACCAAGGCGACGAUCCGUAGCUGGUCUGAGAGGAUGAUCAGCCACACUGGAACUGAGACACGGUCCAGACUCCUACGGGAGGCAGCAGUGGGGAAUAUUGGACAAUGGGCGCAAGCCUGAUCCAGCCAUACCGCGUGAGUGAAGAAGGUCUUCGGGUUGUAAAGCCCUUUUGUUGGGAAAGAACAGCAGCAGGUUAAUACCCCGCUGUUCUGACGGUACCCAAAGAAUAAGCACCGGCUAACUUCGUG
rnacentral:rRNA from 1 species